UACAGAGGUCCCGAGCGUUGUUCGGAUUUACUGGGCGUAAAGGGCGCGUAGGCGGUCGUGACAAGUCACUUGUGAAAUCUCCGGGCUUAACUCGGAACGGUCAAGUGAUACUGUCGGACUAGAGUACAGAAGGGGCAACUGGAAUUCUCGGUGUAGCGGUGAAAUGCGUAGAUAUCGUCAAGAACACCGAUAGCGAAGGCAGCUUACCAAGCUCUAACUGACACUGAUGCACGAAAGUGUGGGGAUCAAACAGG
rnacentral:rRNA from 1 species